ensembl:snoRNA
AGGGUGCGCUCAGAGCAGGGGGCCUGAGGGAUGGCUCCUCUGUUUACACCGCACCCCACAGAAACCCGGGGUCAGGGUGACGAGGGGCACGCAGCGCACGGCCUCCCCCUCCCCACACACACCCCACAUGC